rnacentral:rRNA from 1 species
UACGAAGGGGGCGAGCGUUGUUCGGAUUUACUGGGCGUAAAGGGCGCGUAGGCGGCGGGUCAAGUCGAGUGUGAAAGCCCCGGGCUCAACCUGGGAACUGCGCUUGUAACUGGCAAGCUAGAGUGUGGCAGAGGGGGGUGGAAUUCCACGUGUAGCAGUGAAAUGCGUAGAGAUGUGGAGGAACACCGAUGGCGAAGGCAGCCCCCUGGGCUAACACUGACGCUCAUGCACGAAAGCGUGGGGAGCAAACAGG